CACGGCGGCACUAGCGCGGUGGUCCCACCUGAUCCCAUUCCGAACUCAGAAGUGAAACGAUGCAUCGCCGAUGGUAGUGUGGGGUUUCCCCAUGCGAGUAGGGAACUGCCGGGC
rnacentral:rRNA from 1 species